rnacentral:rRNA from 1 species
GACGAACGCGGCGGCGUGCCUAAUACAUGCAAGUAGAACGCUGAAGGAGGAGCUUGCUUCUCCGGAUGAGUUGCGAACGGGUGAGUAACGCGUAGGUAACCUGCCUGGUAGCGGGGGAUAACUAUUGGAAACGAUAGCUAAUACCGCAUAACAGUAGAUAUUGCAUGAUAUCUGCUUGAAAGGUGCAAUUGCAUCACUACCAGAUGGACCUGCGUUGUAUUAGCUAGUUGGUGAGGUAACGGCUCACCAAGGCGACGAUACAUAGCCGACCUGAGAGGGUGAUCGGCCACACUGGGACUGAGACACGGCCCAGACUCCUACGGGAGGCAGCAGUAGGGAAUCUUCGGCAAUGGACGGAAGUCUGACCGAGCAACGCCGCGUGAGUGAAGAAGGUUUUCGGAUCGUAAAGCUCUGUUGUAAGAGAAGAACGAGUGUGAGAGUGGAAAGUUCACACUGUGACGGUAUCUACCA